rfam:Brassica oleracea var. oleracea cultivar TO1000 chromosome C9, whole genome shotgun sequence
GAAAUAUAAGAAUCCGUCUCUUCACUUUUAGCUAAAAAUGUUAAGAACCGGCUCUUAAAUAAGCGUUUUAAGAACCGGUUCUUAACUUUUUUAGUUAAAAAUUAAGAGACGAGUUCUUAUAUUCC